UACAGAGGUCCCAAGCGUUGUUCGGAUUCACUGGGCGUAAAGGGUGCGUAGGCGGUCGGGUAAGUCUGAUGUGAAAUCUCACAGCUUAACUGUGAAACUGCAUUGGAUACUAUCCGGCUAGAGGAAUGGAGGGGAGACUGGAAUUCCUGGUGUAGCGGUGAAAUGCGCAGAUAUCAGGAGGAACACCGGUGGCGAAGGCGGAUCUCUGGGCCUUACCUGACGCUGAGGCGCGAAAGCUAGGGGAGCGAACAGG
rnacentral:rRNA from 1 species